rnacentral:lncRNA from 1 species
UUUUCCAUUUGUUGACAUCCAAGACCCUAAUUUCAUCCAUUUAUUCACCCUCUUGUUUUAGUCCAUUCAUGGUAAUCAUUUGAUUUGGUCUCAUUCAAUUGAACCUGAGUCCUUUGACCCCAACCCAAGUCUUGGGUGUACUACACUCAUUUGCUCUCAUUCUCAUGGAAGUUUAUCUGGAUAUCCCCCCAUAUUUAGCCCAUAACUUGGUC